rnacentral:tRNA from 1 species
GGUUAUAGCUCUGUUGGUAGAGCGCUCGCCUAGCAUAUGUAAGGCUCUGGGUUCGAUCCUCAGCACCA